rnacentral:piRNA from 1 species
UGCCUAGACAGAGAAAUGAACAAUCACAGU